rnacentral:lncRNA from 1 species
CGUGGCGCUCCAGUGGCUUCUCGUCACGUUCCUGGAGUCGGGCCAAUUGACAGAGCAUCAUGGAUUGGUCCAGACUGAGCUGCUAUUGCUGAUUCGAGAUUGGUGUUUGAGAGUGGAUAGAGUGACCACUGCUGAUUUGUGUGACAUGAACUGCUGAUAUCCUCCUUUGUUUAAAAAAAUUAUUUUCUGUAGAUGAGUACACUGUAGCUGUACAGAUGCUUAUGAGCCUUCAUGUGGUGGUUGGGAAUUGAAUGUUAGUUGACCUCGCUCCGGUCAACUCUGCUCACUCAGGCCCAAAGAUGUAUUUAUUAUUAUAUAUAAGUACACUGUAGCUGUCUUCAGACGCACAAAAAGAGGGCAUCAGAUCUCAUUACAGAUUGUUGCUGGGAUUUGAACUCAGGACGUUUGAAAGAGCAUUCAGUGCUCUUACCCACUGAGCCAUCUCGCCAGCCCUGCUGAUAUAUUCCUGACAACACAGAUUGGAUUCAUCCCCAAAGAACGACUUCUAAGUAGGUCCACAUCCCCUUGUCCUAUUUCCUCCCCUACCUUUAGAUGGUGGGCUCAAAGAAGAAUCAAAGCAUUUGAGAACCCUUAUUAAAAGUGUGU